GUGGCGCUGGGCAGGGGCCGGGGGGAGCCAAACACGCUUCCCGUGUGGUGGGGUCGUCCGCAAAACCUGGCAUGCAGGUCGGAAGCGGGAGAAAGGACCAGAAAAAUAACCUUUUGAGAAGACACCUACUAUAGCAAAUUGCCUCACGCUUAGGAUAUCCUCCUGGGAACUGAGAGACCUGCCUUCAAAUCAGAUUCUGCCUGCAUCAGGCUCAGGCAUGCUCCUGCUGCUGGCUGACAGCUCACCAAGGGACUAUUCUGGUGUGGAAGAUCGUGCCAUCCGUGGCUGGAGCUGCUCCACUGUGUAUAACUCAUUAAAUACUCAUCAAGCUAAAAAGAAAGACAGAUUAUCACCGUCUGGUUAGGACACUCACAUGAGUUCACCUCUCUGCUCUAAAUCAAGCAGUCAAGCAAAGACUUGGACAUGGGCUCUGCAGAACCCAGCUGCUUGCUCAGAGCAACAAGUUAUUUAUUCCCUGUCCCAGACAACCACUUUUUCUUGCCUACACCCACUGCUGGAACUGAAAAAAUGUUUCCAAUAACAGCUUUGUCAAAACUGGUAUAUUACCAGGAAAUGCUUUGGCUUUAGUUAAAAAAUUCCUGACCAGCUGUAAUUAGAAUUUCUAAUAGAAUUCCCUGUGUAGUUUGACUCACCUUUUAUUUUUGCUUUAUUGUGUAAAAUCAUUUUUCAGAGUGGGCUUGAUUCAGAUGAAAAUAGUGAGUUUGAUUACUUACAACCUAAGUAAUACUCAUGUAUUUUUGAUGAUCUGCAGCUUUUUAGGAAAAAAAAAAACUUGCACAAAAGGUAAUAUGCAGGUCGUUAGUAUAAGUUUAUCUUUGCUGCAAGUAGAAAUCUUUGUAGAACUAUCAAAUAGCAGAGAUAUAGUUAUUCUGUUAUGAAUUCUGAUAAGACUUAAAACUAUUUGGGUAACUGUGGCAUCAGAAGUCCUGGACAAGAUUACAGAUCUGCUGAGCACAAAGUACGUUAGUCAACGUCUUAAACCAUUUUGUUAGUUUUUGCUUGUCAUGCAAGUAGUUUGCUAAAGCUUUAAGCACUCUUGACUUUACUUUAAGCCUUCAAAUCCUUUAGUCUGUCAGUCAACAACUGCUAAGAUUGGCAACACUUUUUCAUUUAAAUAAAUAUUUAUAUUAAACUUGUUUAACAUUA